rnacentral:rRNA from 1 species
AGGACGAACGCUGGCGGCGUGCUUAACACAUGCAAGUCGAGCGAGGCCCUUCCUCCGGGAAGGUGCCCUAGCGGCGAACGGGUGAGUAACACGUGGGCAACCUGCCCCUAGCACUGGGAUAACUCCGGGAAACCGGGGCUAAUACCGGAUAUGACCUCCGAGGGCAUCCUUGGUGGUGUAAAGGAUUCUGGCUAGGGAUGGGCCCGCGGCCUAUCAGCUUGUUGGUGGGGUAAUGGCCUACCAAGGCGACGACGGGUA